rnacentral:rRNA from 1 species
UGCAAGUCGAGCGCGCCCUUCGGGGUGAGCGGCGGACGGGUGAGUAACGCGUGGGAAUAUGCCCUUCUCUAAGGAAUAGCCUCUGGAAACGGAGAGUAAUACCUUAUACGCCCUUCGGGGGAAAGAUUUAUCGGAGAAGGAUUAGCCCGCGUUAGAUUAGGUAGUUGGUGGGGUAAUGGCCUACCAAGCCUACGAUCUAUAGCUGGUUUGAGAGGAUGAUCAGCCACACUGGGACUGAGACACGGCCCAGACUCCUACGGGAGGCAGCAGUAGGGAAUCUUAGACAAUGGGGGCAACCCUGAUCUAGCCAUGCCGCGUGUGUGAUGAAGGCCCUAGGGUCGUAAAGCACUUUCGCCAGAGAUGAUAAUGACAGUAUCUGGUAAAGAAACCCCGGCUAACUCCGUGCCAGCAGCCGCGGUAAUACGGAGGGGGUUAGCGUUGUUCGGAAUUACUGGGCGUAAAGCGCACGUAGGCGGAUUAGUAAGUUAGAGGUGAAAUCCCAGGGCUCAACCCUGGAACUGCCUUUAAUACUGCUAGUCUUGAGUUCGAGAGAGGUAAGUGGAAUUCCGAGUGUAGAGGUGAAAUUUCGUAGAUAUUCGGAGGAAACACCCAGUGGCCGAAG